rnacentral:rRNA from 1 species
GAGAGCUGGCAACACCCGAAGUCCGUAGCACAACCGAAAGGAAUGCGCGGCCGAAGGUGGGGUUAGUGAUUGGGGUGAAGUCGUAACAAGGUAGCCGUAGGAGAACCUGCGGCUGGAUCACCUCCUUU